rnacentral:rRNA from 1 species
GAUGAACGCUAGCUACAGGCUUAACACCUGCAAGUCGAGGGACCGGCGCACGGGUGAGUAACACGUAUCCAACCUGCCCUUUACUCGGGGAUAGCCUUUCGAAAGAAAAAUUAAUACCCUAUGUAAAGGAUGGGGAUGCGUUCCAUUAGGUUGUUGGUGAGGUAACGGCUCACCAAGCCUUCGAUGGAGAGGGGUUCUGAGAGGAAGGUCCCCCACAUUGGAACUGAGACACGGUCCAAACUCCUACGGGAGGCAGCAGUGAGUAAUAUUGGUCAAUGGGCGUUAGCCUGAACCAGCCAAGUAGCGUGAAGGAUGAAGGCUUAUGGGUCGUAAACUUCUUUUAUAUAAGAAUAUGUAUUAUAUGAAUAAGGAUCGGCUAACUCCGUGCCAGCAGCCGCGGUAAUAC